rnacentral:tRNA from 1 species
GGGGAUUUAGCUCAGCGGCAUAAAGCGCCUGCCUUGUAAGCAGGCAGUCGUGAGCACGAUCGCCA